rnacentral:lncRNA from 1 species
ACGGCUACACUUGAUCCAUGUCACCGGUGUGGCGCCCCGCCUCCAUCUCCUUCGUUGAUCCCUUCUCUCACCGUCGACCGACCAUGCCCCUUCCCUUCUCCGCACCGGUCCUCCACCGCCGUCCCUCCCACCAUGCUGGUGCGCCGUUUCGGCACGGGAAAGAAGCUCCGUGAAGGCAUCGUCUCGGUGGUAUGUACUCACACGAACUAGUUUGAUUGAUCGAAUAUUUGAUUUAGUUUUACUGUCCUAUUUUGAUUUGCAUUAGUUUGGGUCCACUGCUUGCUUCAAUGUAAUUUGUUUGAGUGUGCCUACGUUAUAUCCGAUGUGUAAUGGAUCUUUUUGCCAUCUAUGAAUUUUGAUUAAUUUUAUGUGCAGACCUCAAUAACUUGAUUCUAUUGGUGGUAAUAUGAGUUUCGACAUGAUUUCAAACCGCAUGCUUCCAUCGGAGUAUAUAUCUGUCUCAAACUAAAAAUGUCCAUGCUUCUUAGUUUUGUAGCAUCUAUAAUGCUAUACAAAUGCUUCUGGACUCUGAUUUUUUUUCUCUUCCUAAUGCCAAAUAAUAACAAUGGAGAUCAAUCUAUAUGUUGGUGAUUCAAAACAUCCAUCCUUUGGAGGC